UAAUUACUCCCUCCGUCCCAUAUUAAGUGACUUUCUGUUACAUGUAUCUAGACGCUUUUUAGGUAUAGAUACAUUCAUAUUUUGAUAAAUUUGAGUCACUUAAUAUGGGACGGAGGGAGUAUGUC
rfam:Brachypodium distachyon strain Bd21 chromosome 4, whole genome shotgun sequence.